rnacentral:rRNA from 1 species
UGAACGCUAGCUACAGGCUUGACACAUGCAAGUCGAGGGGCAUCAGGAAGAAAGCUUGCUUUCUUUGCUGGCGACCGGCGCACGGGUGAUUAACACGUAUCCAACCUGCCCUUUACUCGGGGAUAGCCUUUCGAAAGAAAGAUUAAUACCCGAUGGCAUAAUGAUUCCGCAUGGUUUCAUUAUUAAAGGAUUCCGGUAAAGGAUGGGGAUGCGUUCCAUUAGGUUGUUGGUGAGGUAACGGCUCACCAAGCCUUCGAUGGAUAGGGGUUCUGAGAGGAAGGUCCCCCACAUUGGAACUGAGACACGGUCCAAACUCCUACGGGAGGCAGCAGUGAGGAAUAUUGGUCAAUGGGCGCUAGCCUGAACCAGCCAAGUAGCGUGAAGGAUGAAGGCUCUAUGGGUCGUAAACUUCUUUUAUAUAAGAAUAAAGUGCAGUAUGUAUACUGUUUUGUAUGUAUUAUAUGAAUAAGGAUCGGCUAACUCCGUGCCAGCAGCCGCGGUAAUACGGAGGAUCCGAGCGUUAUCCGGAUUUAUUGGGUUUAAAGGGAGCGUAGGUGGACUGGUAAGUCAGUUGUGAAAGUUUGCGGCUCAACCGUAAAAUUGCAGUUGAUACUGUCAGUCUUGAGUACAGUAGAGGUGGGCGGAAUUCGUGGUGUAGCGGUGAAAUGCUUAGAUAUCACGAAGAACUCCGAUUGCGAAGGCAGCUCACUGGACUGCAACUGACACUGAUGCUCGAAAGUGUGGGUAUCAAACAGGAUUAGAUACCCUGGUAGUCCACACAGUAAACGAUGAAUACUCGCUGUUUGCGAUAUACAGUAAGCGGCCAAGCGAAAGCAUUAAGUAUUCCACCUGGGGAGUACGCCGGCAACGGUGAAACUCAAAGGAAUUGACGGGGGCCCGCACAAGCGGAGGAACAUGUGGUUUAAUUCGAUGAUACGCGAGGAACCUUACCCGGGCUUAAAUUGCAGUGGAAUGAUGUGGAAACAUGUCAGUGAGCAAUCACCGCUGUGAAGGUGCUGCAUGGUUGUCGUCAGCUCGUGCCGUGAGGUGUCGGCUUAAGUGCCAUAACGAGCGCAACCCUUAUCUUUAGUUACUAACAGGUCAUGCUGAGGACUCUAGAGAGACUGCCGUCGUAAGAUGUGAGGAAGGUGGGGAUGACGUCAAAUCAGCACGGCCCUUACGUCCGGGGCUACACACGUGUUACAAUGGGGGGUACAGAAGGCAGCUAGCGGGUGACCGUAUGCUAAUCCCAAAAGCCUCUCUCAGUUCGGAUCGAAGUCUGCAACCCGACUUCGUGAAGCUGGAUUCGCUAGUAAUCGCGCAUCAGCCACGGCGCGGUGAAUACGUUCCCGGGCCUUGUACACACCGCCCGUCAAGCCAUGGGAGCCGGGGGUACCUGAAGUACGUAACCGCAAGGAUCGUCCUAGGGUAAAACUGGUGACUGGGGCUAA